AAUAGGACGAAGAUCAGGAGUAGUAGAUAACGGAAGUUUUUAGAGAGUUAGCGGUUGGUGGGAGCUAAUAACGGAUGGAAUCGAACUUGCCUUGGGAGUCUGCAUAGGAAUGAUUGACCUACGCCGUUAAUCCGCGAUAAGGAUUCAAGUUGAGUGUUUUCACUAAUUUGGGUGGUACCGCGGGAAUUAUAUGUCUCGUCCCUUUU
rnacentral:ncRNA from 1 species